rnacentral:lncRNA from 1 species
CGCUCGGCCCCGGCCAGACUUACAGCCAGUUGCUCGCGGCGGCUGAGAAGACGGCGAAGACGAGGAGGCGCAGCGAACGCAGAUAAAGAAUCCGAGGCGCAGAGAGGUGGCACUGCUGGAAGGAACAGAGCCAGAUCCACAAGAUCCUUCAUUCCGACAAUAAAUAUUCACUGAAGAUCUGCCACAUGUCAGGCCCCAGCCCAGAUCAGGAAAUUGAGGUCCAGUGAGGUGUCUUGGCCAGGACACUCAGUCAGGACGUGACAUGAACACAGGACUGUCUGACUUCAAAUCCAGUGCUCCUUCCCCUGCAGUCCCCACCCCACUGACUGGGGGACAGUGCUCCAGGCAGCUGGAAUGGGACACGGUUUGUGUGGCAGCGAGAUAUCCAGGCUCUCCUCCUUCCAGAUCUAAGGAUUCAAACCCAGGUCUGCUUGACUAGGAAGGCCGGCCCUCUCCAUGGUGCCAGGACAACUCUUUGGAGAAGAUGCCCCUCUCUCUGCCUGCCUGAAUCUUCUCCGUCCACAAAGGCCUGCUCCAUCCUCCCUCCUCCAGGAAGCUUUCCCUGACUGUCCCCGGGCCCAGCCAGGGUGUCUGGGGGGCUGGAGAGACCCACAGAGCCCUGAUCACCGUGGCUGGCCCGUAAGUGUGGCGACUGAGUCCCAGUCUGGAGGCACAGCUGGACUUUCCCAGAGAGAACUGAGGCAUUGUGGGAAUUUCCCAGCUGUGACCCCAGGACCCUGAUUGCCCAGAAUGGCUCCAAGUUCACAUAUCUAGGGACCGUCACCAAGACUCCUGUAUCUAUAUUAAACUCGGUAAAUGUGA